rnacentral:rRNA from 1 species
AGGAUGAACGCUGGCGGCGUGCUUAACACAUGCAAGUCAUGGGGGCCCAGCAGUGGGCAACCGGCGAACGGGUGCGUAACACGUGAGCAACCUACCCAGGUGUGGGGGAUAGCCGUCCCAACGGGACGGGUAAUACCGCAUACGCUCAACACGAGGCAUUUCGAGUUGAGGAAACCUUCGGGGCACCAUGAGGGGCUCGCGGCCUAUCAGCUAGUUGGCGAGGUAACGGCUCACCAAAGGCUACGACGGGUAGCUGUCUGAGAGGAUGACCAGCACAUUGGACUGAGAAACGGCCAGACUCCGACGGGAGCAGCAGGUGGGGAAUCUGCGCAAGUGGCCUAAGGCUGACGCAGCGACGCCGCGUGAGGGAUGGACGUCGUCGUUCGGAAGUCGUUAAACC